AAAAGGAGCAAUCCGCUGAUAGAUGGGCUUGCGUCUGAUUAGAUAGUUGGUGGGGUAACGGCCUACCAAGUCGACGAUCAGUAGCCGGACUGAGAGGUUGAACGGCCACAUUGGGACUGAGAUACGGCCCAGACUCCUACGGGAGGCAGCAGUCGGGAAUAUUGCGCAAUGGAGGAAACUCUGACGCAGCGACGCCGCGUGCAGGAAGAAGGUUUUCGGAUUGUAAACUGCUUUAGACAGGGAAGAAACAAGACAGUACCUGUAGAAUAAGCUCCGGCUAACUACGUGCCAGCAGCCGCGGUAAUACGUAGGGAGCAAGCGUUAUCCGGAUUUAUUGGGUGUAAAGGGUGCGUAGACGGGAAAACAAGUUAGUUGUGAAAUCCCUCGGCUUAACUGAGGAACUGCAACUAAAACUAUUUUUCUUGAGUGCUGGAGAGGAAAGUGGAAUUCCUAGUGUAGCGGUGAAAUGCGUAGAUAUUAGGAGGAACACCAGUGGCGAAGGCGACUUUCUGGACAGUAACUGACGUUGAGGCACGAAAGUGUGGGGAGCAAACAGGAUUAGAUACCCUGGUAGUCCACACCGUAAACGAUGGAUACUAGGUGUAGGG
rnacentral:rRNA from 1 species